CUAUCUUACGCAUGAAGCCGUCAUGUUGAGGAAACGUGAAGGCAUAUAAAAAGUCCUCCUUUCCUUCAUCUCCAGAACAGCUUCCUCUUUCAGUCUGGUUGGAGAAUCAGAUUUCGUCAUCCAGGAAAAGAACAAUGUCUUGCUAUCAAGAACAGUGUAAGCAGCCUUGCCUGCCUCCUCCUUGUGUGAACACAUGUUCCCCGUGUGGGAACACCUGCUCUUCAGAAUGUGUGGAGCCCUGCAACCCAUGUGCUCAUAAGUAUGUGGAGCCCUGCAACCCAUGUGGUCACCAGUAUGUGGGGUCCUGCCACCCAUGUUCUCCUCAUCAGUGUGUUAUGGCUUGCCAGCCCCAGUAUUCUCAGUCCUGUGGGUCAGGCUGCUCAUCAUGUGCUCCAGCUUGCUCCCCAUGUGCUCCAGCCUGCACAGCUCCGUGUGCUCCUAAGUGUGUGGAAACAUGCACUUCCUCAUGCCAAGAUCCCUGUGCUUCCGAGUGUCACUAGCUGAAAUGACGCAGAUGUCCGUGAACGGCCAAGCGAAGAACGGACGAUGAAGGCACAAGGCUGUGUAUCUUCUCUGCUAAGUCAAAAUUCUCUGCCAAAUUCUGUGGCUACAAACAGCUUUUCAUUUUGCAAAGUGUAUUAAUCAUGCAAAAUUAAAGCCUAUUCAUUUGAA